AUGAACGCUGGCGGCGUGCUUAACACAUGCAAGUCGAACGAUGAGGCCCAGCUUGCUGGGUGGAUUAGUGGCGAACGGGUGAGUAACACGUGAGUAACCUGCCCUUGACUCUGGGAUAAGCCUGGGAAACUGGGUCUAAUACUGGAUAUGACUUCUCAUCGCAUGGUGGGGGGUGGAAAGAUUUAUUGGUCUUGGAUGGACUCGCGGCCUAUCAGCUUGUUGGUGAGGUAAUGGCUCACCAAGGCGACGACGGGUAGCCGGCCUGAGAGGGUGACCGGCCACACUGGGACUGAGACACGGCCCAGACUCCUACGGGAGGCAGCAGUGGGGAAUAUUGCACAAUGGGCGCAAGCCUGAUGCAGCGACGCCGCGUGAGGGAUGACGGCCUUCGGGUUGUAAACCUCUUUCAGUAGGGAAGAAGCGAGAGUGACGGUACCUGCAGAAGAAGCGCCGGCUAACUACGUG
rnacentral:rRNA from 1 species